rnacentral:rRNA from 1 species
CUACGGGGGGCUCCAGUGAGGAAUAUUGCACAAUGGGGGGAACCCUGAUGCAGCAACGCCGCGUGGAGGAUGACGCAUUUCGGUGUGUAAACUCCUUUUAUAUGUCAAGAAAAUGACAGUAGCAUAUGAAUAAGCACCGGCUAACUCCGUGCCAGCAGCCGCGGUAGUACGGAGGGUGCAAGCGUUACUCGGAAUCACUGGGCGUAAAGGACGCGUAGGCGGGUUGGAAAGUCGGGUGUGAAAUCCUACAGCUUAACUGUAGAACUGCACUUGAAACUUCUAAUCUAGAGUAUGGGAGGGGGAGAUGGAAUUAGUGGUGUAGGGGUAAAAUCCGUAGAUAUCACUAGGAAUACCUAAAGCGAAGGCGAUCUCCUGGAACAUUACUGACGCUAAGGCGUGAAAGCGUGGGGAGCAAACAGGAUUAGUACCCCAGUAGUC